AGGAGCUGGAUGGGUCUCGUUUGUUGCAUUGGCAGGUUUGACAGCCUUGGAUUCGUCACUGGACCAGGAGCAGCUUGACCUGUUUGUGCUGAUGACGCUCACCGUGUUGCAGCCAAAGAUUCCAGUCUCCAGUGAAUCAACACUUGAAAGCAAGUUGAAAAAUGAAGAGCUCGUGCGGCAGCAGCGGAGAGUAAAAUGGAACAACAUUUUUGAGUUGAACAGUCCUUGGGUCCACAACGCCGCAUGAGGAAGUAACUUGCUCACCGCCAGAGUGCACAGAUCUGCAGGCCACACUUUCACGUUUCAUCUUACUGUUAUUUGCAAGAAGCGGCAGUGAACAUGAUCAGUUUCCUGCACAAAAGACCUAACAACAUGUCUCCCUGGCUGGUCAACGCACCUGUCCGACGUUCUCAUGAGCCGACUACUUCACCACCCAGCGACGUGCAGACUGCCAUCCAAC